UACGGGGGGGGCAAGCGUUGUUCGGAAUUACUGGGCGUAAAGGGUUUGUAGGUGGCCGGCUAAGUCAGACGUGAAAUCCCUCAGCUUAACCGGGGAACUGCAUCUGAUACUGGAUGGCUUGAGUUCGGGAGAGGGAUGUGGAAUUCCAGGUGUAGCGGUGAAAUGCGUAGAUAUCUGGAGGAACACCGGUGGCGAAGGCGGCAUCCUGGACCGACACUGACGCUGAUGAGCGAAAGCCAGGGGAGCAAACGGG
rnacentral:rRNA from 1 species